AAAGAAUUAGUUAAUUAAUAAUAUUAAAUUGUCAUUUUAAAGUUAAUAUUUAUAUUAUUCUUUU
rnacentral:tRNA from 1 species